AGCCCUUGACAUGUCGGUCGCGAGAACCAGAGAUGGAUCUCUUCAGUACGGCUGGACCGAACACAGGUGCUGCAUGGCUGUCGUCAGCUCGUGUCGUGAGAUGUUGGGUUAAGUCCCGCAACGAGCGCAACCCUUGCCUUUAGUUGCCAUCAUUAAGUUGGGCACUCUAGAGGGACUGCCGGUGAUAAGCCGGAGGAAGGUGGGGAUGACGUACCAAGGUUGGUU
rnacentral:misc_RNA from 1 species